UCUACUAAUUCUACAGUGAAGAAUCAGACAGAGAGCACUGAUACAAUUCACAUAAGGCCCCAAAGUUGAUAAGCCUAGGAGAGGCAAAAUUUUUAGCUCAGGUUUAGUGGCCCCAUAGCCCAUGGUCUGCAACAACUCCUUCGCCAUCUUCCAGCAGCAAAUCUAAUAGGAAGUUCAACCAUAGCUGCAAAGGUCUUCAAACUCUCCCCUCCGUCACACACUGGGGCUCCUCCUUAGCACUUGGCCAGCAAGUGCUUUUCACUCAGGGUGUAAGAAGCUUGUUCAUGUCCAGCUAUCAAGUACACAUCCCAGCUGACAAAAUGGACACCCCUUGACAACUGGGUGAGGACAACAUGCGUCCUCAACUCCCAGUGACCAUACAGCUGCCCGUCGCUCCAAAGGAUGCUGGGGAAGGUGGUCUUGUUGCAAGAAGUCAUCUUCAGCGAAGCUGAAAAAGUGAUUCUGAAUCCAGCCAAGUUGAGGGUGAAGAUUACCAACCAUCACAGAGAUCUACAAAAUUUGAUCUGUCCCUACUGCUUUCAUGGGAGCCCCCGCAACACCCAUGAUCAACGUCAAUGUCACUCUGAAUGCGAACUCAACUCACAAUUGUGACUCCUCAUGUCUGAAAGCCACAGAGGUCCAUAUGUUUUCGAGCUCCCCGAGGCCUUUCCCCAGCCCUCCUGCUGAAAGCCCACACAGAUCACAGUCCACACCUCAUUCAUCCAUUCGGUCUUUGUUGGAUUGUCUGCCCUUCCUGUUAAUGUUGUGAAAUGGCUGGAGAGGCUUUGGCGGGUUUGGACCAAGGAGCCCCUCAGCAGGACUGUAGAAUUGUGAGAAGGCUGAUUCUGGCAUGGUAUUCAAGAUACAGUAGGCGAACAGGAGUGCCGUGGUUCGAGGUUCAUGCUGAAACUUAUCCCCAUUGUGUGAUAUUAAGAGAGCGGAAACCUGAUCUGACAGUCCUUGGAGGUGGGACAUUUGGAAGCUAAGGUGAAAUGAAUCAAGUGGUGGGGCCCUCCCUUCUCCAACAGAACUAUGGCUUUAGAGCACAGGUUAGACUUGAGCGCACACAUUCGCAUUCAGUCCUUCCCACUGCGUGAUGGACUCCACCGUGUCCUGACUCACCACAAAGACUCUCAACAGAUGUCAAACCGAUACCAGCACCACUCUCUGUGGGGUACCCUGUACCCCCACACCCCUAGUUUCAACUCUUACUUGUCACAUAAGCUCCAAGCAUAUUCAUGACACCUGAGGAGAUUAUAGAUUAUCUCUUCGCUCCUUUCAGCAUCAGAGCCUUGGCUAGGCCUGCCCUGGUACCUCCCAAUGCACAGGUGUAUGCAAACAUAAAGUGACACACUGUGGGGUGGUCUUUCUGUACGCUGCGAAUAUGUGUUGCUACCACUGGUUAAUAAAGAAGCUGCUAUGGCCUAUGGCAAGGCAGAAUAGAGCCAGGCGGGGAAAUCCAAGGAGAAGAUGGAGUCAGAGGAGACAUGGAGCUCUGCAGGAAAUGGGGAGGGGAGCAAGAUGUAACGGAAUGCAGGUAAUGCCAGGAAGCCACGUGGCAAAACAUAGUUUAAUAGAAAUGGGUUGAAUUAAGUUGUAAGAGCUAGUUAAUGAUAACCCUGAGCCACAGGCCAAACAGUUUGUAAUUAAUAUAAGUCUCUGUGUGUUUACUUGGGACCAAGCGGCUGCGGGACACAGGAAAACUUCCGAGGCCAGUAAUAUGUGACCAGAUAAAGGGCCAGUGAUCUCACAGCCAAGCUUUAAAUGAUGGCAAUGGCUUCUGCAGGACAAGGAUCCUUUUCUCUUUUGUCUGCUGAGAGGGAGUUCUACACUCUCUGCGUUUUCUAUUGCUGUAAUCACUUACCUUGUAGAGCUUUUAAGAUGAUGCAACAAUACAUCAUUGCA